GCGCCUCUAGCUCAUCUGGCCAGAGCACCUGACUCUUAAUCAGGGGGUACGGGGUUCGAGACCCCGGGGGCGUAC
rnacentral:tRNA from 4 species